rnacentral:rRNA from 1 species
CUCCUACCGAUUGAAUGGUCCGAGUGAAGUUUUCGGAUCGCGCCGACGCCGGCGGUUCGCCGCCGAGUGACGUUGUGAGAAGUUCAUUAAACCUUAUCAUUUAGAGGAAGGAGAAGUCGUAACAAGGUU